CGGACAGUGUCUGGUGGGUAGUUUGACUGGGGCGGUCUCCUCCUAAAGAGUAACGGAGGAGCACGAAGGUUGGCUAAUCCUGGUCGGACAUCAGGAGGUUAGUGCAAUGGCAUAAGCCAGCUUGACUGCGAGCGUGACGGCGCGAGCAGGUGCGAAAGCAGGUCAUAGUGAUCCGGUGGUUCUGAAUGGAAGGACCAUCGCUCAACGGAUAAAAGGUACUCCGGGGAUAACAGGCUGAUACCGCCCAAGAGUUCAUAUCGACGGCGGUGUUUGGCACCUCGAUGUCGGCUCAUCACAUCCUGGGGCUGAAGUAGGUCCCAAGGGUAUGGCUGUUCGCCAUUUAAAGUGGUACGCGAGCUGGGUUUAGAACGUCGUGAGACAGUUCGGUCCCUAUCUGCCGUGGGCGCUGGAGAACUGAGGGGGGCUGCUCCUAGUACGAGAGGACCGGAGUGGACGCAUCACUGGUGUUCGGGUUGUCAUGCCAAUGGCACUGCCCGGUAGCUAAAUGCGGAAGAGAUAAGUGCUGAAAGCAUCUAAGCACGAAACUUGCCCCGAGAUGAGUUCUCCCUGACCCUUUAAGGUCCUGAAGGAACGUUGAAGACGACGACGUUGAUAGGCCGGGUGUGUAAGCGCAGCGAUGCGUUGAGCUAACCGGUACUAAUGAACCGUGAGGCUUAACCUU
rnacentral:rRNA from 1 species